rnacentral:misc_RNA from 1 species
GCAUUUGCAAAGAAAAAUGGAAAUUAUAAUAUCUCAUUCUUUAUUCUGAUCUUUUUACUUCUAUUAACAGACUGCUAGUAUAUGCCAACUACUUCCAACUAAACACAAAAUCUUUUCUGGGUAUUUUGAUUUUCAUAUUUCUGCUAAACAAACAAAUUGGAGAGUAAACUGCUACCAUCUCUACCAAGUAUGCAGGGCAAUUGCCGAUGGGAAGGCUUGCUAAUUGCUACCUGCAUUGUUUUGUUUAGGGCAGGAGACUAUACCUUGUCUUGAUCAGUUCCCUUUUCUGUUUCUUCUUUUCCCUGUAUCUUUUCUGAUGAUAAAUUCUUACCUUUAUCAUUCUUACUAAAGCCAUUUGUGGUUUCAUCUUCUACAGAGUUUUUCAAUGGAAGGAGUUGGCAGAUUUUCUUCAUCUCUGCAUCUUUACCCCACAACACCGCGUAUAACCCGCACACAAUGAAGGCUGAUCCUAUUAUGCUUCCAAGGUGUAAUUCCUCAUCAAGUAGCAGAGAUCCCUCCAAGGCCGUAAACACAAGCAUUAGAGGGUAAAAAAUUGUUGCAAAUAAUGGACCCUUAAUCCUCACGCACCAUAUCAUCAAAGUUAUCAUCAUCCCCUGCACUACUAUUCCCGCAUAGGCUGCAGUGCACAGCCUUAUGUUCCAACCCAAUUUCCAUUGCUUCCAAUCUUUCUCAACGCAGAGGGUAUAAACAACCGAUUGGAUUGCUGCCAUUAUCGACAUCAAUGCUGUGCUUGAAUAUGGGCAGGGAUAUUUUGCACUCAUUUUAGCUUGAAUUAUUAACCACAAAGAAAAUGAGAUGCAAUUGCCCAUGGCAAGUAUGCACCCCAAUACACGAGUGUUGUCUGAUGCUGCCACGUGUCCUCCAUGUGGUGUAACGAGCUUCAACAGGUUGACAUGUGUCGACCAGAUGUGAAUUUCCGACCCUUUGUAAAAUGUCAAUAGCAUUGCUCCGCCGAUUCCCAUUAAUGUUCCCACCACUUUUGCCUUUCCUGCCAGAGUUGAUAUUCCCAUCUUCUCCAACCCAAAAGAAGCAGCUAAGAUGAAAGUGACAGCUGGUAUAAGAUUAGCCAUGGCAGUAGCAAAUGUUGCAGAUGUCAACACCAAACUCUCAAAGUACAGGUUUUGAGACAAUGAUCCUCCAAAGAAGCCACAGAGAAAUGCUUGAAACAGUAUUGUCCAUGUAAGCUUGGGCCUGCUCUUUCUCUCAAAGAUGAGAGCAAGAGGAAUCAAGAACACAGUGGCAAAGAUGAAUCUGUAGGCAAUAAUGACCCUCAAGCUCAUACCAUCAUAGGUAGCCAAUUUGUAGAACACAUUAACACCAGCAAAACAGAACUGAACCACCACCAUUAAUAACACUGGCUUCAGCUCAUGCAGCCACUUGAAAAUUUUCAUCACCAUCUUACCAGCAGCAGCCAUGCAUCUAUAACCAAGUUGAUAUCUAUAGCGUGAAGAGAAAUUUACAGGAACAAACGAAGAUGAUGAAGAAAACUUUUUGCCUUUCUUCUUUGCUUGCUUGUUUUGCUUUCUUUUUGUUUUAAAUGGACAUAUGACGAGCAAAUUAAGCAUGAGAGUUAUUUAUAAAGCUAGCUCUUGCAGUACCCAGAUGAACAGUUAUAUGUACAGUCUAUUUCUUUUUUUUAUGCUUAAUGGAAUGGCAAAUGGACUGUGCUGAUCAUAA